AGGCGCCCGCUUGAUUCAGGCUUUGUCGAGCCCGAGUCAAGUGAAUUUGGAUCAGUGGUUCGAUUGAACCAGAAGAGAACGGCAUCCUCAAAUAAGCACCCGUGCCCUAAAUGGAGCGGUGAAACUGUCUCCUUCUCCACAGCCACUGCAACUGCGGCGUGUUCCUUGGCGAAAGCCGGCAGCGGCGGCGGCAUUUUCCUCCGUCGAGCUCUUAUCGCUGCGGCGUUUUCCUCGGCGAACGGUGGAUUCUGCGGCUUCCUCUCCGUCGGCGAACGGUGACAGCGCCCGGUAUCUCUCUCAUAAUCCUUCUCCUCCUCCUCUUCCUCCUUCGCCGUCGCACAAUCCCUUCUCCUCCCUCUUCCCCCGUUUAUCGCAGCCCACCGCCCCCCCGUCUCGUCGCAACCCUCCUUCCCCUUCCCCCUUUCGCCACAGCUCUCCCGCUUCCCCGACACCGUCCUCCUCCCUCC
rnacentral:lncRNA from 1 species